rnacentral:tRNA from 1 species
AAAGAAUUAAUUUAAAAUAAAAUUUAGAUUUGUCAUAACUAAUACAUGCUUAAGCAUAUUCUUUU